rnacentral:tRNA from 1 species
GUAGGCAUAGUUUAAUAAAAACCUUAGAUUGUGAUUCUAAAAAUAGGGGUUAGACUCCUCUUGUCCACC